AUCAAGCCACAAUACUCUGCUGCUCCAUAUGUGCACUGCUUGAACUUGUCCAGCUGCCUCCUUGCUUGUUUUGAUCAUUCAACUCUUAUACAUUGUUGUUUCAAUCUUGAAGACUAGAACUGGCUACUGCAGAACUUGUUUUCUGCUAUGGAACAAUUUGUAUUCAGCAAUUGAUUUGCAAUCAGAUGUAGGCUUAAGGAUCUGCACGUUGCCUAGCUCAAUGAUCUUAUGAAACCGUGGUUGUUGGCUUAUACCAGUAGUUCCCAAUUAAUUUUGCACAUCUGCAACAUAUCAUAAUCCAGCAGAUACAACAAUGAAUUAGUGUAGUGGUUACUUCGAAAAAUUUGGUUCAGUGCAGUUUAUAAUUUUGCCAAACUGAUCAAAUAGUGUGUUAGGCUAAUGAGAAUAAGUUCAGCACAUUGAUUGAAACAAAGCUUCUUAAAAUCAGAUUUUAAUCAGCUAUACAGAGUUCAAUUCAGUGGUAUUUGGAUUUGUCAGAAUGUUGCUGCACUGCUGCAGUCCUUGAAGAUUAUCCUUUUGUUCAGCUUCGCAAUUGCCUGAAUUAACUUAAUCAUCAAAUAGAAGAGGGUUAGAUGCAGUGACAGUAACCAAUAUAAUAAGAAUUGUAGCAGCUUAAAACUGAUCACUCAUUUUCUCAACAAAGGUAGCUUGGCUUUUAGGUGCAGCCACUCAAAUCUCACUUCCUGGACCGUUUCAGGUUAUUUUCACUGCACUAGCAAGUUUCUUUUGGAUGAUAUACACUCAAUCUCACCAACACUCAACUCUUUGGCUUGUAUCUCAAUAUUUGGGUGGUGAAGUUGCCAAAAAUUCAGUGUUUUAUGCUACUGAAAAGUGAAAAUUAUGCUUGCUGGACAGCACAUUUGAAUUCCAAAAUUCAGGUUCCUCUCCACUUCCUAAGAUGCUACCUUAGUAGGGAAAGGGUUCUACAACUUGAAUUAACCAAUUAGACUUAACAAAACCAUAGAAAUCAUCCAAACAGUCACCAAACAGAUUAGAAAUCUGCACCAGUUUCAACACCAUAAUUUGACUUGAUUUGGACAAUUUAAGAGGCCAAAAAGCUUAAAAGCAAUAAAAAUAGGAUUAGAACAGAAGUAGGCACUCAAAUGGAUCCUAAGAAUAGGACUAGAGUGGAUGAAGAAAGCAAUAAAAACGCAAAUGGCAGAUCACAAACUCAUCCAGACCAAACUGUUUGAUAUUUUACAAAAGUGUUUGUUAAAAUGCCCUAAUGAAAAUCAAAUUUUGUGUUUUGGGGUUUUAACUGCUUAAAUCUGGAUUGCAUGGUUCUACAAGCCUUUUAACACUUGCUUUUACUUUUUUGAUCAUUUAUUUUCAUUCUAUAACAAUGAACCAGCUCUUGUUGCAAUCCACAAACAAUUCUGCACAAUAGGAUCAAAAAACAGUGGCUUAAAAUAGUGUUCUGCACUAGAAAAACAAGUUGAUUUUGGUGGUUUGACAUCCAAUUUCGAAUGGAACUAUUUUAAACUCUCAAUUAACAAUUCAAGCAACUUUAAAUGAUGAUUUUAAGUGUGUUCAAACUUUAAAAUAAAGUCUAAUCUGCUGGUAACUCAAAAUCAUCAUUCCACUUCCAUUUUUAACCAAAAAUUGAUGGUUUCAAGUGCAAAUCUGUAUAUCAGCCAUGUUUUGACCAAAUGAACAAUGCUAACAACUUUAAACCAUCAAUUUGGACCUGCUCAAACUGUAAAACAGCCAAGAAACAGCAGCAACCGAAAUUCACCUCUGUUGUACCAAGUUAUGUAGUAAAUUGCAUCAACUCUUCCACCCAAAAUCAAUUUUAAUGGAAUCAAAAGUUGGACAGCAAAGAAAAUGACUCUAAGAAGUGUUAAUACAUUGAACAAAGCUAAGAUUGAAGUGCUUAGGAUGACCAAACUCAAAUUGAACCACUCAAGGAUGUUUAGCACGGUGAAAAGCUGGAAAAUAAAGCUGAAACAGUAAAAUGCUAGUGUUUAUGCACAACCAAGCUAUGCAAAUUGCAUUUCAUUGCUUGUAAUGGUUUGCUACACUUUUAGCAUCAUUCAACAACAUCAACCAAACUUGUGCAAGGCACCAGAAUCAAAUAAAACAAGC
rnacentral:lncRNA from 1 species